rnacentral:rRNA from 1 species
UACAUGUGGGGCAAGCGUUGUUCGGAUUCACUGGGCGUAAAGGGUGCGUAGGUGGUCGGGUAAGUCUGAUGUGAAAUCUCCGAGCUCAACUCGGAAAUGGCAUUGGAUACUAUUCGACUAGAGGGUUUGAGGGGGGACUGGAAUACUUGGUGUAGCAGUGAAAUGCGUAGAUAUCAAGUGGAACACCAGUGGCGAAGGCGAGUCCCUGGAAAACUCCUGACACUGAGGCACGAAAGCUAGGGGAGCAAACAGG